AUUACCUUGAAGCAGGAACUCGAAAAUUGGUAUGGAAUACAAUCAGUAUAAGAAUAAGAAAAAAGAGGCUACUAAGUCCACUAAUGAAGAACAAGAACUUAAUGAGCCCAUAGGAGAGCGCGAGGUUACUAAUAAGCUUGUAGAAGAUACGGAUAUGGAGCACCAUCAGACUGAGGUAGUUAAAAUUAGCACAAUGCAUAACAAUUUGCAAAUUCUUUUAGUAUUGUGCCAAUAAAUUUAACUCCGCCUGUG
rnacentral:lncRNA from 1 species